rnacentral:lncRNA from 1 species
GGGCCAGGCAGCCAUCUGUAGGUAAGACCUGACUAGGUCAGGCAGCAGAGAUAGUAAGACCUGGCUGGGCCAGGCAGGCAGAGUGGUAAGACCUGGCCGGGCCAGGCAGAUUGAGGUUGUAAGACCUGGCUAGGCCAGGCAUCCUUUCAGUGGGAUUGUUGGUGGUCAUGUCUAUCCCUGAGAUGAUGUGCUGUAGUGCAUUCCAUGAGAUCAUGUUUUCAACUUAUGGUUUUUAUAGUUCUGCUCAUUGGGCUUGUAUAGCUCAUCCCUCUC